rnacentral:rRNA from 1 species
UACAGAGGGGGCAAGCGUUGUUCGGAAUUACUGGGCGUAAAGGGCGCGUAGGCGGCCUGUUAAGUCGAACGUGAAAUCCCCGGGCUCAACCCGGGAACUGCGUCCGAUACUGGCAGGCUUGAAUCCGGGAGAGGGAUGCGGAAUUCCAGGUGUAGCGGUGAAAUGCGUAGAUAUCUGGAGGAACACCGGUGGCGAAGGCGGCAUCCUGGACCGGCAUUGACGCUGAGGAGCGAAAGCUAGGGGAGCAAACGGG